UUGGGAGGGGAAGGAAGACGCAGGCCCCAGGAGCUGCCUUCCUGGCGCGGGUCCUCAACCCUCAGCUUGGACCAGAAACAGGGACGGGCGAGAGCGCUUGUCGGGACAGGCCUGGAAUGCUGUCCUCCCCCCCCACCACCGCCAGCACUCAGGCCCUCCACCUCCAGGAAGCCACUCCUGCCCACCCCAGCCUUCCUGAUCUUUCUCCCCUUGGAACUCUGAUGGCAACUCCAUUCAGGGAAGACUCCCUGAGGUUGUGCUGGGGCCUCGAGAGGCCAAGACCAAGAGGAAGGCGUGGCCCUGCCCUCGGGGGAGCUCCCAGGAGGAAGCGGAGACCCGCCUGGAUGCCAGGCUGCGCAGCGAGGAGCGGCCCAUCUGAGGAGUAAAUCUGGGACCAGCUUCACAGAGCCCAGGUUGGAUCGCAGAAAAACCCUGAUACUCCUGAAAGUCCUCUGCCCAGGGAAGGAAGCCUGAACCUACCUCACCAUUAUACUCUCAUGUUGGGCCCUCCCUGCUGGGGAGAGAGAACAGGCCAGAGAGUCCACCAGGCAUCACACCUCACCCGGAAUGAGCAGGCCCACCUGCCUCAUCCAGCACCUCUCAGCAGAGAGCCCACACCGCACUGUGGAAACAGGAAGAGAG